UACAGAGGUCCCAAGCGUUGUUCGGAUUCACUGGGCGUAAAGGGUGCGUAGGUGGUGAGGUAAGUCGGAUGUGAAAGCUCGGAGCUCAACUCCGAAAUGGCAUUGGAAACUACCUUGCUCGAGGGUUGGAGGGGGGGACUGGAAUGCUUGGUGUAGCAGUGAAAUGCGUAGAUAUCAAGCGGAACACCAGUGGCGAAGGCGAGUCCCUGGACAACUCCUGACACUGAGGCACGAAAGCGUGGGGAGCAAACAGG
rnacentral:rRNA from 1 species